UGGGGAAUAUUGGACAAUGGGGGAAACCCUGAUCCAGCCAUGCCGCGUGUGUGAAGAAGGCCUUAUGGUUGUAAAGCACUUUAAGCGAGGAGGAGGGUACUGGUAUUAAUACUACCAGGUACUGGACGUUACUCGCAGAAUAAGCACCGGCUAACUCUGUGCCAGCAGCCGCGGUAAUACAGAGGGUGCGAGCGUUAAUCGGAUUUACUGGGCGUAAAGCGUGCGUAGGCGGCUAAUUGAGUCGGAUGUGAAAUCCCCGAGCUUAACUUGGGAAUUGCAUUCGAUACUGGUUAGCUAGAGUGUGGGAGAGGAUGGUAGAAUUCCAGGUGUAGCGGUGAAAUGCGUAGAGAUCUGGAGGAAUACCGAUGGCGAAGGCAGCCAUCUGGCCUAACACUGACGCUGAGGUACGAAAGCAUGGGGAGCAAACAGG
rnacentral:rRNA from 1 species